GAACUCGUCUCUUGAAGAGACGAGUUUCCUUGAAUAAUUGUCUUUUUUUAAUUUGAGAAUUUUUUUAAAAUUAUAUAUAUAUUUUUUUUCAUGGAACUCGUCUCUUCAAGAGACGAGUUCCCUUUUUUAAAAAAUUUUACCCGUUCACCCUCUCUCCUCUCUCCUCUCUCCUAUCUCCUCUCUCCUCUCUCUCACCCUCUCUCCUCUCUCCUCUCUCCUAUGUGGCAAAAACUACCCUAUAUUUGUAAUAACUUCUUCCACUACAGUAAUUUAAGAAUAACUUUUUUAAAUUACUGUACUAUUGAGAAAAAUCCUUCAUUAGUGUGUGGUUUGGAUGCAUUCUGGUGACAGGAUAAGAUGGAAUAAAAAUCCCCAUGAAUGAACCAAGCCAAGGGUAUCAUACCAAACUUCUAAUCUAGACUAUUGAAUAAUGAUACUGACAAAUAAAACCAAGGUAUAAACAAAUAUUAUCAACCUAAAAAAAAAUAGGACUAACAUAACAAAGCAAUGGAAUCAAAGAUCUAAAGCAACGAGACCAUAUAAGAAAUGGCCCAUAUAUAUAAAAUUAUGAUAUCUGUCUCUUCAACUUUGCCUAACAUACCCAUCAUGCUGACACAACAUGAUAAGGAUAUGCAUAAGAACGAAAAGGAAGAACUUUUAAUCAACCACAUGUUAUCUUUUUCCUUGUAAUUGAUUGUUUCUCUGGUUAGUCAUAUCUGAUUACCAUUCAAGAUUAUUUUUCAAAUGACCAGGCAUUUUAAAAAUUGAAUAUCAGACGGUAGAUAACAGGAGUUUAAGUCCAAAAUAAUCUAUUGGUAGAAAAAAAAUUGUAAGAAUAGUACUCAUUUCAAAAUAUUUGUCAAAGUAAUCUUUUGUAUCCACAUAAGCAUCCAUAUGGAUUUUUUUUUUUAGUAUAAAAAACCAUCGUUGGUAAGUCUGGUUUUAAAAGUUUUAGAAAUAUCAUUAAAACCAUAAUCUAUGACUGUGAUUUCAAAAUUAUUUUUAAUCCAUCCCUAUUUUAAUGGUAUUGUGAAUUUAAUAUUAUUUUUAAAAUAUUCUUUAUCAUAAUAAUCAUAAAACCACAGUUAGUAACUGUGGUUUUAAAAAUAUCCUAAAAAUUAUAGUUACGGACUGUGGUUCACAAAUAUCUUUAAGGGGAAUUCAUAUAACCAUACAUCAACUAAAAAAAUAUGAGAUUUUAGAAUUUUGUUUUUUUAUUUUUAAUUUUAAUGUAAAUUAUGGAUGUACCAAAAUUUCUUAACGAUGUACCAAAUUUUCUUAAAGUUCGUUUCAAAAUUGAGAAAAUUUCUUACAAUUUUCCAUUGUCAGUUUAAAACUAUUUUCUUUACAAAUUAUCCUUAAUAAAUUUUUUCUUUACGAUUGUUUUAAAAUUAUAUAUAUAUAUAUAUUUCAUAUUUUCCUUGAAAUUUUGAUAAAAUAAUUUCAUUUACAUGCAUUCCCAUAAAAAUUUAUAUAUUUAUUUGUUUUAUGAAUUUUAUCACAUAUGAAUUAAAGAAAAUUAUUUUUUCAUAUUAUUUUUAAAUUUUAAAAUAACUAAGCAAAUUGUUUAUAUUAUUUAAAAUUUUAUAUUUUCAUAUAAAAAAUAAUGUCGAUGAUUAUGAUUUUAAGUUAUUCCUUACUAAUUGUGGUUUUAUGGAUAUUAUGAUAAAAAAUAUUUUACCAUUAAAAUGGGGGUGGAUUAAAAAUAAUUUUGAAAUCAUAUUUACUAAUUGUGAUUCUAAGAAAAAUUGUAAAACUACCAUUGGUGUGACUGUGGUUUUAAAGAUAUUUCUGAAACUAUAAAACCAUAGUUAGCAAUGGUGGUUUUUUACACUUAAAAAAUAACUAUGUGAAUGUUUACGUAAAUACAAAAUAUUACUUUGACAACUAUUCUUAUUUUGGACUGAAACUCAGAUCCCAAACACUGCACAAAUGUCACAUCAGGUAUACUAAUAUGGGUAUUGAUGUGUGGCCUAUAUUUGAUAGAAAGAGAUGAUACAAAAGAUGCAAAAGAUAUGGUGAACAGUGCAAAAGGCUGGAAAAUCCAGCAAAUUUUUUCCCCAUACCUGGUAGUAGUGUUGAUCAAUUCCACAAGCAUUUGCAGCUCUGAUGGCUUCAAUUGGCUACCCUGAAAUCCUCUUGGCAGUCAUUUGCUUUCUCCUCCUUCAUCGACUAAGCAACAGCAACAUGCUUCCCUGGAACUGGCCACUUGUUGGAAUGCUUCCAUGGAUUUUUCGCAACAUUCAGCAGAUUCAGGACAGAUGUACUGAAGUUCUAGAGCAAAGCAGCGGCACUUUCCUACUGAAAGGACCUUGGUUUGCUAACAUGGACAUGCUGAUCACCAGUGAUCCUGCCAACGUGCAUUAUAUAAUGAGCACUAAUUUCUCUAAUUUUCCCAAGGGGCCUGAGUUCUUGAAGAUUUUUGAUGUUUUGGGAGAGGGGAUUUUCAAUUCUGACUCGGAUUUAUGGAGGAAACAAAGAAAACUGGCUCAAGUGUUGAUCAAUGACCGGCAGUUCCAGCAGUUCCUGGUGAAGACUACCGAGAAUAAGGUGGAUGAAGGACUAAUUCCAGUUCUUGAGCAUGUGUCCAAGCAGGGUCUGUUGGUGGACUUGCAAGAUUUGUUCCAGAGGUUUACAUUUGAUACCACCUGCAAAUUGAUCACUGGCUUCGACACCAAAUGUCUCUCCAUUGAAUUCCCAAGAGUCCUAUUCGCAAAGGCCAUGGAUGAUGUUGAAGAAGCCAUAUUUUUCCGGCAUGUUGUACCUGAAAGUCUCUGGAAAUUACAAAGGUGGCUGGGGAUUGGAGAAGAGAAGAAGUUAAGCAAAGGUUGGGAAACCAUAGAUAAUGUUAUAGCUGAAUAUAUAUCAAUGAAACAUGAAGAACUAAGCAAAGGAAUUGCCAAAUUGCAAGAAGAUGAAGAGGGCACCGAUCUUUUAACAUCAUACAUGAAUGAAGACAGUACCAUGGAGUUGAAAUCCAAUAAGUUUUUGAGAGACACCAUUGUGAAUUUCCUGCUCGCAGGGCGAGACACUACUAGUGCAGCUCUCACCUGGUUUUUCUGGCUUGUUUCAAAGAAUCCAUUAGUGGAAGCCAAGAUUAGAGAAGAACUCAAAGAAACCAUACCAGAGAAAGAUCAGAAAUGGCAUAUCUUCAGAACAGAAGAGCUAAAUAAACUAGUAUAUCUCCAUGGUGCGUUGUGUGAAACAUUAAGGCUCUACCCACCUGUUCCAUUCCAGCACAAAGCCCCUCAUCAAGCAGAUGUCCUACCGAGUGGCCACAGGGUUCAUCCAAAGAUGAAGAUCUUAUUUUCCUUGUAUGCAAUGGGCAGAAUGACAACAAUAUGGGGAAAAGAUUGCUUUGAGUUCAAGCCAGAGAGAUGGAUCACAGAGCAAGGAGGUAUUAAGUAUGAGCCAUCUUACAAGUUCUUUGCAUUCAAUGCCGGUCCAAGGACUUGUCUAGGGAAGGGGGUAGCUUUCACUCAAAUGAAGGCAGUUGCAGCUGCUAUAAUCCAUAAUUACAAUGUUCAACUGGUGCAAGGUCAUCCUGUGGCUCCUAAUGUUUCAAUUAUUCUUCACAUGAAGCAUGAAUUAAUGGUUAGAGUUACCAAGAGAUGGUGAUGAAUUGACAAUAUUGCAGGGUGCAUGGUGAGUCUCACCUGAAUGGCUUCAUUUAUCAAACUGGUUCUUAUCUGUAGAAGGCUAGCCACAAGGGACGAUGCAGUAUCAAGAGUUUGAAGAGUGGAGCAGAGUGAAAGGCGAGAGAGGGCCAGAAAGGGUGGUAGUGGAAUAAAGAAAAGAGACCAAUAGAGCAGGAAAUUCUGUUUUUUGCAGCAAAAUUAGAUUUAUCUACAAUAUCUACGAUGUGAAUCCUGAAGUUGAGUUAUGUUUCAUCCAAUUCCAGCUUCUCAUCACUUCUUAUGUUGACCCCA